rnacentral:rRNA from 1 species
GACGAACGCUGGCGGCGUGCUUAACACAUGCAAGUCGAACGAAAAGCGAUGGAAUCUUGCUUCUGUCAGUCUGAGUGGCGGACGGGUGAGUAACGCGUAAUCAACCUGCGCUUCAGAGGGGGACAACAGUAGGAAACGACUGCUAAUACCGCAUACGCUCUAACCUCGGCAUCGAGGAGAGAUGAAAGGUGGCCGCUACAUGUAAGCUGGCACUGAAGGAGGGGAGUGCGGCUGAUUAGCUAGUUGGCGGGGUAGGGGACCCCCAAGGCGAGGAUCAGUAGACCGUCGGCUAGGAUGGACGGCCGCAUUGAGACGGAGACACGGCCCAGACUCCUUCGGGAGGGAGCCGGAGGGAUUCGGGCGGCAUGGAUGAAAGACUGACGGAGAAACGCCGCGGCAGGAAGGACCGCCGUCGGGUUGGAGAUGUCGGCUUUUCGGGACGAAAGCCCUUCUUGCUAAUACGUAGAGGGAUUGACGGUACCGGAUUAAAAAGCCACGGCUAACUACGUG